GGUAGUGUGGCUGAGUGGUCUAAGGUGCUGGAUUAAGGCUCCAGUCUCUUCGGAGGUGUGGGUUUGAAUCCCGCUGCUGCCA